GGCUUUGUAGUGUAGUGGUUAUCACCCGGGAUUCUGAUGUUGCAGAGUUCCCGUGACCCAGGUUCGAUCCCUGGCAAGGCCU
rnacentral:tRNA from 1 species